rnacentral:tRNA from 1 species
UUGGUUGGGGGGGCCCUGGCCCCGUAACCGGAUUUACAGUCCGACACCU